rnacentral:tRNA from 1 species
GGGGAUUUAGCUCAGUGGUAGAGCACUUGCCUAGGAAGCGCAAGGCCCUGGGUUUGGUCCCCAGCUCCGAAAAAAAGAACCAAAAAAAAAAGAGCUCUGACUGCUUUUCCAGAAGACCUGGGUUCAAUUCCCAGCAACUACA